UUGCCAGCCGCCGCGGUUAUACGAGAGACCCAAGUUGUUAGCCCCCGGCGUAAAGAGUGGUUAAAUACACAACAUUUAACUGAGGCCGAACAUCCUCAAGGCAGUUAUACGCUCCCGAGGACAUGAAGAACAAUCACGAAAGUAGCCUCAUCCCAUUUGAACCCACGAAAGCUAGGACACAAACUGGGAUUAGAUACCCCACUAUGCCUAGCCCUAAACAACGAUACCACCAAUACAUCCCCAUCCGCCCGGGUACUACGAGCAUUAGCUUAAAACCCAACGGACUUGGCGG
rnacentral:rRNA from 1 species